AUUGAACGCUGACGGCAGGCUUAACACAUGCAAGUCGAGCGGAGUGAUGGUGCUUGCACUAUUACUUAGCGGCGGACGGGUGAGUAAUGCUUAGGAAUCUGCCAUUUAGUGGGGGACAACAUUCCGAAAGGAAUGCUAAUACCGCAUACGUCCUACGGGAGAAAGCAGGGGAUCUUCGGACCUUGCGCUAAAUGAUGAGCCUAAGUCGGAUUAGCUAGUUGGUGGGGUAAAGGCCUACCAAGGCGACGAUCUGUAGCGGGUCUGAGAGGAUGAUCCGCCACACUGGGACUGAGACACGGCCCAGACUCCUACGGGAGGCAGCAGUGGGGAAUAUUGGACAAUGGGCGGAAGCCUGAUCCAGCCAUGCCGCGUGUGUGAAGAAGGCCUUUUGGUUGUAAAGCACUUUAAGCGAGGAGGAGGCUCUCCUAGUUAAUACCUAGGAAGAGUGGACGUUACUCGCAGAAUAAGCACCGGCUAACUUCGUGCCAGCAGCCGCCGUAAGAC
rnacentral:rRNA from 1 species